UGCUCAGAUUGAACGCUGGCGGCAGGCCUAACACAUGCAAGUCGAGCGGUAACAGGGGAAGCUUGCUUCUCGCUGACGAGCGGCGGACGAGUAAUGUAUGGGGAUCUGCCCGAUAGAGGGGGAUAACUACUGGAAACGGUAGCUAAUACCGCAUAAUCUCUCAGGAGCAAAGCAGGGGAACUUCGGUCCUUGCGCUAUCGGAUGAACCCUAUGGGAUUAGCUAGUUGGUGAGGUAAUGGCUCACCAAGGCGACGAUCCCUAGCUGGUCUGAGAGGAUGAUCAGCCACACUGGGACUGAGACACGGCCCAGACUCCUACGGGAGGCAGCAGUGGGGAAUAUUGCACAAUGGGCGCAAGCCUGAUGCAGCCAUGCCGCGUGUAUGAAGAAGGCCUUAGGGUUGUAAAGUACUUUCAGUUGGGAGGAAGGCGUUGAUGCUAAUAUC
rnacentral:rRNA from 1 species